CACUUUUGUAUCGGCUUGAACGUUGUUGCUUUAUUACACAGACCUUGGAGCGGGAACGUUGGAGCCUGAUGCCAGCUAGGCUAGCCGUUGGGAGAUUCAUACAAAUCUUACGGGAACGAUUCAUUCGAAGAGCUAUAAUUAGAGGCAAUCAGGAGAUUCAUACAUUUGAAGCUUCCAACUGAAGAAAAAUGAAGGAGCAAAUAAAAUGAGGGCAAGAGAGGAAGAGCAUUUGUGGCAGGGAUUGGCAGUGGGACUGGGCACUCCAUUUGCAUUGGAGUGUUUCCUCAUUCCAAAACAUUGGACAGAAGAGGGUUUCUGGUAGAGACCGAGCUUUGCAUAUGCAUUGGAGUAGAAGGUGCUUACAGUUGAUGAAUCGCACUAUCAAAUGAUUCAUCUCUUUGAAAGAUUAAGAAACUAAGUCCCAACUGAUGAUCCAUGCAAUGAAAUUCUUGGUUUGUGGUUAUAGGGCUUGACAGUGAGCUGGUUAUUUUUAAUCAGCUUCAAGUAGCUAUUUAUACAGCCAUUGGGAGAUUCUUUAUUUGAAGCCUCAAACUGAAGGAAAAAGAAGGGGCGAAUAAAAUUAGGGUAAGACAGUGAAGAGGAUUUGUGGCGGGGACUGACAGUGGGUCUGAGCUUUGCAUUUGCAUUGGAAUGUCUUGUCAUUUCAAAACAUUGGGUAGAAAACGAGUUGUGGUAGGGACUGAGCUUUGCAUUUGCAAGAUUUAGAAACUAAGGUGUGUUAGAAGUUUGUUAGCUCUAUCAUCUUUGUCUCAAUUUGCUAAAGAUUUUCCUUUCAUCUAGUAAGCAUAGUUUCUAUGAUCUCUUUUGUUUGAAUUAAAAUGUUUCUUGUUUGAAUCAAAACAUGCAAUGAAAUUCUUGGUUCGUGGUUAAAAGGCUUGACAGUGAGCUGGUUGUGAUCAAUCAGGUAUGCAGGAAUUCAGACUUCUUUUUCAAAAUUUAGUGACAAUUUAACAAAAGUUUGGACAAGUGAGAACUUGAACACAAAGAAUUCAUUGGAGGAUUUGUGCACAACAAAGAGAACUUGAACAUGAAGAAUUCAAAGAAGGCAAUGACUUAUGGUAUUGUUUAAUGGUAGAAUGGAAGUACAAAAUAUGUAACAUUUCAUUUGAAUUGAUUAUUUUUAUUUAUUGUAAACAUUCCUCAACAAUUUUAAUUAAUAAAGAUAUACAAUUCUUUUUA